AUUGAACGCUGGCGGCAGGCCUAACACAUGCAAGUCGAACGGGUCGCGGACGUGAGAGCUAUGUAUGUGACACGGCCUGCUGGAUGGGGUUAACAACUGGAAACGGUUGCUAAAUCCGCAUUGCUUCGGAUGUGCCGCGCUGGGAUUAGCUAGUUGGUGGGGUAAAGGCUCACCGCGGCGACGAUCCCUAGCUGGGCUGAGAGGAUGACCAGUCACACUGGAACUGAGACACGGUCCAGACUCCUACGGGAGGCAGCAGUGGGGAAUAUUGCACAAUGGGCGCAAGCCUGAUGCAGCCAUGCCGCGUGUAUGAAGAAGGCCUUCGGGUUGUAAAGUACUUUCAGCGAGGAGGCGUUACCCGCAGAAGAAGCACCGGCUAACUCCGUGCCAGCAGCCGCGGUAAUAC
rnacentral:rRNA from 1 species